GGAGCGGUAGCCUAGUGGUCGAAGGCGCUUCACUGCUAACGAAGUAAUUGUUUCCAAUUCGAGGGUUCGAAUCCCUCCCGCUCCGCCA
rnacentral:tRNA from 1 species